GACGAACGCUGGCGGCGUGCCUAACACAUGCAAGUCGAACGGGGUAAUUUCUUCGGAGAUUACUUAGUGGCGAACGGGUGAGUAACGCGUGAGAAACCUGCCUUUCAGUGGGGGACAACAGUUGGAAACGACUGCUACUACCGCAUAAUGUUAUUUGGGGGCAUCCCCGAAUAACCAAAGCUUUAUGUGCUGAAAGAUGGUCUCGCGUCUGAUUAGCAAGAUGGCGGGGUAACGGCCCACCAUGGCGACGAUCAGUAGCCGGUCUGAGAGGAUGAACGGCCACAAUGGGACUGAGAUACGGCCCAGACUCCUACGGAAGGCAGCAGUGGUGAAGAUUGGGCAAUGGGGAAAACCCUGACCCAGCAACGCCGCGUGAAAGAAGAAGGCCUUCGGGUUGUAAACUUCUUUUACCAGUGACGAAGAACGGGACGGUACCUGGAGAAAAAGCAACGGCUAACAACGUGCCAACAGCCGCCGUAAUAC
rnacentral:rRNA from 1 species